GCGAAAUUGGUUAUGUCACUUUAUUUUAUAACUAUUUUGUCCACAUUUUCCUUUUUCUAAGGAAUGAAUAUUUACUUGAAAGGCCCACAGACAUUAUUUAGUUAUCUUUACCAUGCAUUUGUUUCUUUUAAUAUGGCACCAUGUGGAAGUGUAGUUUUGCUCAACUCAUACGUGUGUGAAAGAAAGCAUAGUGAAUAUGACUAAGUGCAUAGGCCCAGGAACCAGAUGACCUGGGUUUAAAUCCCAGCUCUUACUGUGACCCUCAGGCAAGUGCCUUCUUUUAACUCAGUUUCCUCAUCUGUAAAACAGGAAUUUCAUUGUUUAAAAUUGUGGGGUCCAAUUAUUCUGAGGUUAAUAGUAAAGCAGUAUUUUUCAGGUGCCCUGGCACAAAAGGGCUGGAAGUGCAAAAAGAAAGACAAAUGGGACUGGAGCAAUAAAAUGGAAGAUGAAGGGGUGAUAUCCAGAGAUCAGAAAUUGGAGAUGCCCCUGGGCUGGCUGCUGCACCAUUGGAGGCACUGUUAGAGUCAAGCUUGGAUCUGCUGAAGAGGUGUCACUCAGCCAAAGGGUGCUGCCUCUGCCCUAGCUGGUCAUCUGGAUUCACUUCAUUCACAUAGCAGCAAGAGUAUCUGCCACCAACUACCAUACAUUUGGAGUCAAGAGCCUUUCUCUUUUUUUUUUCAGCCUUCUCAGUUCCUUUCAGUGCCUAACAAGAGAAGCAAGAGAGCCUGGAAAUGUAGUUUGAUACCUCCCAGCCCUAGAUGUUCACAGUAUAGAAGGGAUGGUAAAGGAGGUGGUGUUACAUUUCUGUACUGCUGGUGCAUUGAGAGACCCAAGCAAGUAUCAGGCUUUUCAUCCGUGGAACACAUGCUCCAGAACCUUCUAGCUGUUCACUUGUGAUGGAUACUCUGUUAGCCUUCACUAUUGAAUGCACUUUUAAAAAUGAUCAAAACCAACAUUUCCCACAGUAUGAAAUGUUUGCAAAAAAGGCAUUGGCUUCAGGAAGGCUCUGUUAAAAGAGAACCAUCCUCCAUGAGACAAGACCUGUCCUUUCCAUGGGAGAGGCAGUCAUUGACAAGUGUCCUCCAACACAUUUUCCCAGUUUAUCAUAUUGGCACUGAAGGAACACUCAGGAUUACAUGCUUUGGGUGUGGACGCCAAGAAGUGACAAAAAAAGGAAGUUGGGAUCAUUACGGUUAACCCAAGCAUGUUGGAAACCAGAGAGAGGCUGAGUGCUAUCAUACACAGACCCAUGAAUCGGA
rnacentral:lncRNA from 1 species